UGGGGAAUUUUGGACAAUGGGCGAAAGCCUGAUCCAGCAAUGCCGCGUGUGUGAAGAAGGCCUUCGGGUUGUAAAGCACUUUUGUCCGGAAAGAAAUGGCUCUGGUUAAUACCUGGGGUCGAUGACGGUACCGGAAGAAUAAGGACCGGCUAACUACGUGCCAGCAGCCGCGGUAAUACGUAGGGUGCAAGCGUUAAUCGGAAUUACUGGGCGUAAAGCGUGCGCAGGCGGUUCGGAAAGAAAGAUGUGAAAUCCCAGAGCUUAACUUUGGAACUGCAUUUUUAACUACCGGGCUAGAGUGUGUCAGAGGGAGGUGGAAUUCCGCGUGUAGCAGUGAAAUGCGUAGNNUAUGCGGAGGAACACCGAUGGCGAAGCAGCCUCCUGGGAUACACUGACGCUCAUGCACGAUNCGUGGGGUGAGCAAAGCAGGAUUAGAUACCCUGGUAGUCCACGCCCUAAACGAUGUCAACUAGUUGUUGGGGGCAUUCAUUUCCUUAGUAACGUGGGCUAACGCGUGAAGUUGACCGCCUGG
rnacentral:rRNA from 1 species